GUGGGGAAUUUUGGACAAUGGGCGCAAGCCUGAUCCAGCAAUGCCGCGUGCAGGAAGAAGGCCUUCGGGUUGUAAACUGCUUUUGUACGGAACGAAACGGUCCUGGUUAAUACCUGGGGCUAAUGACGGUACCGUAAGAAUAAGCACCGGCUAACUACGUGCCAGCAGCCGCGGUAAUACGUAGGGUGCGAGCGUUAAUCGGAAUUACUGGGCGUAAAGCGUGCGCAGGCGGUGCUGUAAGACAGGCGUGAAAUCCCCGGGCUCAACCUGGGAAUUGCGCUUGUGACUGCAGUGCUGGAGUGCGGCAGAGGGGGAUGGAAUUCCGCGUGUAGCAGUGAAAUGCGUAGAUAUGCGGAGGAACACCGAUGGCGAAGGCAAUCCCCUGGGCCUGCACUGACGCUCAUGCACGAAAGCGUGGGGAGCAAACAGGAUUAGAUACCCUGGUAGUCC
rnacentral:rRNA from 1 species